CAAAAGUCAAGCUUUUCUUAUGGAAAGUUUUCCAAAAUGCCAUUCCGGUUGGAGAAUUGCUUGCAAUCAGAAACAUCAAUGUUGAUACCUGUUGCAAGAGAUGCGGUACAUUAGAAUCUAUAAAUCAUCUCUUUUUUCACUGCCCUUAUGCUAGGAAUGUCUGGAGAGCAGUCCCAGUGUCUCCGGGGGUGGAACUGAGUGGAUCAAUAGAUUUACGUGAUGUUUGGACGAACUUAGUUGAAAGAACUUGCCUACCGCCUACAGGGCUAGCAGCUGGUCAUCUGGCGCCAUGGAUUUUAUGGCAACUCUGGAUAUCCAGGAACAGCCUAUGUUUUAAGGAUAAGGAAAUCUCAGUGGAGGAAACGGUUACAAAAGCCCUGAAGAUGGCAAAGGAAUGGAAUGAUGCUCAAGAAAAGCAAAUAAAACCUAAACAACGUGUAAUAGCUCGACAGCCUCCUCCACCAGACUGUGAUCUUGUGAGAUCAGAUGCUGCAUGGCGUGCUACAACCCAGAUGGCGGGGCUAGGAUGGACUAUUUCAAAGCAAACGGC
rnacentral:lncRNA from 1 species